UGUUAGUAGUAAUGUUUAUUCUCUAUUUAUUAUGAUUUUAAAUGAAUUGAUUUUCUUUUCAGAUUAAUCUUCUAAAAGCAAAUGGCAGUGGAGGAAAGUACCUAAUAGCAAUAACUGAUCAAGUAGGCAAAGGGCCAGCCUUCAGAGUGGACGGGGGAUACAUCAAUCCGGAUGACAUCAAAUCCUACAAGCACAGAUGCUUGCUCUUUAGUAUCCUGAAUGCAGCCAGACAGAUGUCCUAUUUACCAAUUUCAUCAUACCAAUUGUAUCUCCUGAAGGUGUUAUACCUCUUUGAGUUGCGCAAGAUUGAAGCAUCUGAAUUGUGUACCGUCUAUCGGAAAGCAACAAAAUUAUGUACGGAAUGUUCAGUUCUAUUGCAUGAAAUAAGCAGUCCAGAGCAAAUGAUGACUUUUCGAGCAGUUUUUUGUCUGAUAGAUUUUAUUGGCAGAAAAC